UACGGGGGGGGUAAGCGUUGUUCGGAAUUACUGGGCGUAAAGGGCUCGUAGGCGGCCAGCUAAGUCAGACGUGAAAUCCCUCAGCUUAACUGGGGAACUGCGUCUGAUACUGGAUGGCUUGGAUUCGGGAGAGGAAUGCGGAAUUCCAGGUGUAGCGGUGAAAUGCGUAGAUAUCUGGAGGAACACCGGUGGCGAAGGCGGCAUUCUGGACCGACAUUGACGCUGAGGAGCGAAAGCCAGGGGAGCAAACGGG
rnacentral:rRNA from 1 species